CGUUCGUUGGCUGAGGGGGUGGCAGUGUACUACUAUUACUGAACGUCGCCAAUAAGGAAGAUUCUUUGCGCGGCCCGUUCAUUUCAGUUUCAGUUCUAGUGCGUGCGCGAAGGCGUCCGGACGUGCCUGAUUUGAAGCCUGUUUGGAGCUUAUCGGUGGUAGAUUCUAAGAACAAAGACUUGGCGGUCGAUCGUUAGAGUCGGUAUUGUGUGUGAACGGAAGAAAACCGCGUCUGGCGUCCAGUGUGUAAAUUGAAUUCAAUUUGAAUCUGUUUACCGGCGUGUCGCUCUUACAAACGUGUUUCAGUUGAUUUUAAUUCAAUUUGGUCACUCGCAGGGUGUUUGCAAGAAUUAAACGUCUGCAUCAACGGAGGAGCACGCGUGCCUUGAUGGAACUCUAAUCUUUUUCAGAUCGAAGGCCAACAAUAAUCUGCAAUAGGCAGCGAAGAUCACGAUGCACCACGAUUGAUAGUUAGUUUCUGAUUAGUUCCCAUAAUCAACAGUAGUAAUAUAUACACCCGGGAAGACGUAACGUCGAUAUUCGCCACCGUACGACUCUGAGGAGAAGAAUCAUGCAAACCUAACUGACGGCAAUUAAAGGAUUGUGGAAAGUGAUUUAAAUUGGUGCCUCCGGCCGAAGUAGUGAUACAUAGUUCCGCGCUGAUGCAUUACAGGGAGUGUAUCGUGAUGUGCUAGGAAUUUCCGCCGUGUUUCACCUGUUGUGCUGGGUAAAUUUGCCAAUAAAAAGUACCGUGCAGUUAAGCACGCUCCGGGGGUAUACUUGAAAGUGUAGAUUCGAGCAUUAUCGAAGAAUCACCACUACCAUAGCAAAAAUGAUGGAUAUCACGUUCGAAAACAUUCAGUACACCGUGUCGGUGGGAAAGAAAGGUACGCUACAACAAAUUGUUUACUACUAUGAUAGUGGUAGCCACCUGUCAUAAAAUCGAAGCAACCAAAUAGCGGUUCCUGUUACUACUGGUUACUAACUGGUAUGUUUUAACUUUCGCUGUUCUAAAACUUGUUUUGCAACUAUUCUAUAGGCAUAUAGGGCUGGUGCACAGGCAGAGAACAAGUUCUAAGCCGCACUGCGAUUUAAUCUGAUUAAUAUUCCAUUCAAAAUUUGCAUCUUAUUCGCAAAACACCAAAGAACGAGAUAGCAAAGUAUUUCGCUAUGUAGAGAGAACCUGGACCUAUCUGGUUUUGGCAAUGACUGACAAAAUAAUAGCAUUUUCCUGCGAACGCCUAAACCGGUUCGAGAUAAUCGAAACAGGAGUUCAGUUUGUGACGUCAAUUUUUUAAAAUCUGGUUGUAGAAAAAAAUAUAUGCGAAAAUCAACAUCGGGGGUUGAGAGUGCAAAUGACUUCAUCGUAUACAGGCUGGAAGACUAUAUGGGCUUUUAAAUUUGUUCUUGCCUGUGUAAAUGAACGGGAAUAACUUUUGUUCUCCGUUUUUUUUUUAAUCAAUACCCUAAAAUAUCGCAGCAUAAUGGAUCAACUAGAUUUAUAAAAUUCCAUAAAUGCUUGAAUUGUUGAAAUUGAAAUAAUGUCAACCAAUUACAGAAAAAAAAAACUGAAUUUAUGCACCUAUAGUGGGACUUGACCCUACGUACGUAUUGAUUUCAAUUGUCGUAUCAUGGAUUUUGACUUUUGAAAAUAACUGGAGACUAUCCAAGGUGCACCCGGGACAUGUCCGGAUGUGAUCCUGGACACUUGAUAUAACCACCAUUGCACUUGUUUUUGCAUGCUUAUGUGAUUUGAGGUGUCGCAUGAUGGGGUCUUGUACAAGUCUAAAACUGGCCACUUCCCCUGGGGUACCCGAAACAUGUCAGGAUGUGUCCAAUAUGGUCCUUUGCACUUUAUAUAACCACUCGUACGUUUUUGAAUUCUCAUGUGACUUGAAGGUUUUGGUCCAUGUCUGAAAUUGGCUUUUUUCCCUGGGGUACCCGGAACAUAUCCGGAUGUGGUGAAUUUCAGCCUGGAUGCUCAAACAGUUAAAUAUUGAUUGAUUUGAUGUGUUACAUGAAGGGAUUAACAUAAUUCAGACUCACGACCCGUAUUCACUGCAUAAUGUUCUGGAUAUAUGUCCGCAACCAGUUGACUAAUUCCAAAAAUAUUCACCACAUCCAAGGACCACAAUACUUUUCAUUUAGCUGCUGUUGCGUCCAAUUAGGCUAAGUCGUUGCUGAGAAACAGGUUGCCCAAAAUUGUGUAACUCUCAUAUACAUAAACAUAACAGACAUUUUCUGAUCUCGUCGAGUCGAAUGGUAUAUGACACUUGGCCCUUCAGGCCUUGGAUCGAUAGUUGAUUUUCCAAACCUUUUGUAAGAAGAAAGAAACUGCAACAAUAAUAAUUAAUUAUAAUUAAAUAAAAUUUCAAAUACAUUUGCUUCAUUCUUGUUUAUUAUAUAUACUGAAUAUGUUUUCUGAAUACAACUCUAACUUAGCAGACAUGCAUCAAAUAUGCUACUGGAAAAUGUUUAAAAAAUAAGACACACAUUUUGCAAAAUUUUCCUGAUAUUUUUAAUAUUAAAGAAUUGCUAAAAUAUUACAGCUUCCCUUUUGGUACAGGCUUUCACAAACAUAUGUGUACAUAUGUUGAAGGAGCCAUGGAAAAAAAUAUAAUAAAAAAUCAUUUGUUUCCGAAAGAAAAAAUUAAAACAGUUACAUAAAAUAUAUAUUUUUGGAGCUUUGAUAAUGUGUUUUUUUUUGUGACGACUUACUUUGAAUGGUAAUUCAAAAUUUAUGGGAUUGACAAUAAAUAGGUUAAGCGCUGCAUAUUUUUGAUUCUAUCAUAAUCUUCACAUGUCUAGAAUAAACAAUACGGGUACAACGUAAAAUUAAAAGGUUACUGGUGCGGUGUUAUAUGUAGGUGUUCGCUUGAUAAAGUUAACUAAAAACUCAGAGUGGUGCAAACAACACUGGUGCUACUCUAAAAUAAGGGAGCGCGUCCCUAAAAUUUUGAAGGAGAAAGAGACAAAGGAGAGAGAGAUUUCAUAUUUAAGAGAGAGUAGUUGGACAGCUCAGGUGCUACUUGCGAAUAGCACAAUCGAGUAGUUCGCGGUGUUAUGACGGGAGUAGCACUUUUCAAUCGAGAGAGACGUGGCUUAGAGAUUUACAAGAAUGACUGCAUAUUUUAGGCUGGGUGCAUAAUAUUUUGACACUCAUAUAAUAUAUGUUGCAGUGUCUGUAGGAAAAUGUAAAUUUUGAUGCUUUUCCUAAAGAGAGUUUUUUUUAAGAUCGAUGUGUAAUUUUCUUCACAAGGGGAGUUAGCUCUGGUCGACAUUCCGGCGAAAAAUCUAAGUCAACCCGACACCAACCUGACUUCUAGCAAACCCCAACCCGAUGAUGACCUGACAUUGACCCGACAUGAACCCACAAUCGACCCGAAAUUGGGUCGACAUCUACCCUAAAUUUGCCUCACAUUGAUCCGACAUCGGGUUGACAUAAAGGGCGAACACGAAAUUAUUGCGACACCGAAAAUGUCAUGCCAAUUUUCUUAUAAUGUUUAGAAUCAAACCAAAAUUUUAGGGUAGUUUUAUACAUAUAUUUACUUCAAAAAUCAAAAGAAAAGUUAAU